UUUAUAACAAAGGAAGAAGUUAGAUCUAUUCAAGUUGGCAGGGCCUGAUGAAGUUCGCCCUAGGGUACUUAAGGAACUAGCUGAAGCAAUCUCAAAACCAUUAGCGAUGAUCUUCAAGAAUUCAUGGAGGACAACAGGGGUACUAAGAGACACUCUAGAUCCUUCACCGAGAAGACAAACUGACAGCACAUUGUGUCUCUUGAAAGAGGGGUCAUAGCCACCCUGGCUGUAAAGCACUGAUGAAGAAGAUUAGGGCUGAGUGAACUGGUUCAGAUAAAAGAAGAAGAUGCAAGCAAGCAAGCUUUCACCCAAAAGGCAACCCAACUUUUCUGAGCUUUGAAAAAAGCCAUUUAUAUGUAUGCAUGCAUGCAUGUACCCUGCACUCUGACGCGUUUACAUACCAGGAACUACAAACGUCGUAUUAUUUGGACAGGUGGGCUGGCAUGCAUGGUCUCAGUACAUGAAAUGGCACAGAACUGGGAGUCUGAAAGAUUGGUAAUAGACACAACAGCUGUCCCCCACACUGGAAAUGCUUGCUCCAUGUUACCCGAGACUCAGAGCACUCCAUUCCUGUUUUAGUUUUACCUUGCGCACGUUCUUGGAAGUAAGUGCACUUGAAGAAAUAAAGAGUACUUGUUCAGAUGCAUGUAAAGCUGCACGAGACCCCCUGAAUCAGAAAAGCUGACUUUAUGCUAUAAGGGCUUUAUCCUGCUCCCACUGAAGAUGAUCACUGUAAUACCACUGAUUGUCAUGGGAGGAGACUCAGUUUGAUCAGUGGGAUUUGCAGGAUGCAAAUGAAAUGUCAGCUAUAUUCUACCCAUUGACAAGGCCUGCAGCUGGCCAUUUAAGCAAAGGCACUGGAUGAGUGACAGGUUAUCAGAAGCAUUUUCUUCCACCCCAGCAAGUAUUAGUCCCAAUCCUGUCCCUGCUGAAGUCAAUGGAGGCUCUGCUCCUGAAUGCAUGAAUGGGCUCAUUAUUUGGUACCUUAAUGGUCUUGUGCCCUUUUUUUUUACUUUUGCCUGCACACUGGAGAAUAAGUGGCACCGAAGUGAGAAGAAAAGGACGAGAGUUUGGAACCUCGCGACAAUAUGUGGGAGGUAUGACUAGCCCUGGCACUGAAGUUUAAUUGCUAAAAGAAAACUGCUUCAACAAAUAUCUAGGAACAAUGUCCCACUCUCGAUGCAACCAGUUAUCCCACAAUCGGUCAAGAG